rnacentral:rRNA from 1 species
AUGCAGCAACCAGAUAAACGAAAUGCAUUACUCCAUCACCACACUGAUGCUCCAUCUCCCUCUGAUGGCAAGUGCGACCCUGAUGAAGCUGCUCCCCUACAUCAAGGACUACCCCAACAGUGCGGCCUUGAUGGCACAACUCCCAUACACCAAGGACUAGCCCCAUGGUGCGGCCACGACAUCACUGCUCCCCUACACUGCCGACUACAACCUGAGAUCUUAGAACAGGUUUGCAGGUUCAUUGGAAUGCACAGUAAGAAUUACAGUAAGAAGUUCAACUACGAGCCCAGACAUGAGAUUGAUGCACGAGAGCUUCUAGAUGUUCUUCUCGAUCUUGAAUAUUCAUUUUCUCCAACUAUGCAAGAUUUGCUUGUGUAUAAGUUUGAUAAGGCCAGGGGCAAGAACAAAGUGGUUGAUUCAUUGAUUAAUUCCAUUGGUUAA